rnacentral:rRNA from 1 species
GACAGAGGGUGCAAACGUGGUUCGGAUUUACUGGGCGUAAAGCGCGUGUAGGCGGCUUUGCAAGUCGGAUGUGAAAGCCCACGGCUCAACCGUGGAAGUGCAUCCGAAACUGCAUGGCUUGAGUCUCGGAGAGGAAGGUGGAAUGCUUGGUGUAGAGGUGAAAUUCGUAGAUAUCAAGCAGAACACCUGCGGCGAAGGCGGCCUUCUGGACGAUGACUGACGCUGAGACGCGAAAGCGUGGGGAGCAAACAGG